rnacentral:rRNA from 1 species
CCUACGGGGGGCAGCAGUGGGGAAUAUUGGGCAAUGGGCGCAAGCCUGACCCAGCAACGCCGCGUGAAGGAAGAAGGCUUUCGGGUUGUAAACUUCUUUUGACAGGGAAGAGUAGAAGACGGUACCUGUCGAAUAAGCCACGGCUAACUACGUGCCAGCAGCCGCGGUAAUACGUAGGUGGCAAGCGUUGUCCGGAUUUACUGGGUGUAAAGGGCGUGUAGCCGGGUUGACAAGUCAGAUGUGAAAUCCUGCGGCUUAACCCGGGCCGGCCGUUGAAACUGGGGAUCUUGGGUGGGCGAGAAGUAUGCGGAAGGCGUGGUGUAGCGGUGAAAUGCAUAGAUAUCACGCAGAACUCCGAUUGCGAAGGCAGCAUACCGGCGCCCGACUGACGCUGAGGCACGAAAGCGUGGGGAUCGAACAGGAUUAGAUACCCUGGUAGUC